UGUGGUCAGCUUUGUUCAUGCCUCUAUGCAACCCAAAAAGAUGCCAGAUAAAGAACUCGGCUUACUGACUGAGGAUUUGCAGGAAGUGUAGAAGCAGGCAGCAGGUGGAAAGUUCACACCUUUUUAGCCAGUCACUUUCACUGAUGAAUGCUUCCAUGUCUCUGGUUCCCUGCAGUUCCCAAAGGAUUGAAGAUAACAGCCUUCAACACAGACACUGCAUAAUGGGUAAGAUGUCUGUAAUGUAUAAUUCAGCUCAAG
rnacentral:lncRNA from 1 species